CCUGUGAAAUCUCUAAACCUGGCAUUGUCCCCUUGGCCGAGCCUGAGGAACAGCCAGCAGUGAGCCCUUUCCAGCUACCUCCUCUGGUGAGGGGAUGAAAUAGGGAACAGGAAGAUGCUCAGCUGGAAAAUCCUGAGAUGACACCCGAGAGUGGAAACCUAUCCUUGAGACAGCAAAUGGCCUGGGAAGGUGAACGCAGGGCAGCUCGUCAAGGGAGGACUUUUUCAGCAAGUCCCUGACCGAUGUUGCCCAGUGGAGCCGGGACUUGGCUGUGUGGGUCCUUCACAGCAUGGGCUUUGCAUGAAAACGCUCACCAAAGAGAAGCGCCACAACCACAGAGGCUGGGGAGAGGAGGGAAGGGGAAAACUUUCAGUUGAACUUGGGUCACAAUCCACUCAUCUGUUACCAGAGCUGUUCAGUCUGGAAGAGGGAAACUAAUCACGGUGAUUUAAACAUGCCGAGGUUGGUCCCGUAUCUCUCACGGUAUAUUUUCAUUGCAGAGACAACAACCUGAGAUAAAUCUAUAGCAGUUCUAGCCCCUCUCACUAUGCGGAGUUUUCUUGUACAGGCACUAAACUGUGGCCGGCAGCCUUGCCAGGGCAAAGGCUGCUCUUCAAAGGCAACUUUUUCUCAGGCUUUGCAAAGAGG
rnacentral:lncRNA from 1 species